CAUAAUGCUAUUAUUGAUGAUUGCAAGUUAAAAUUAAGAAGGCUAGGAAAUCCGGGGGUGUUCCAUUGCUAUAGGGAGUACAAUGGAGUGACGGAUGCUUUGGCUAAAUGGGGUGCUUCUGAGGAUAUCCAGUUAGAGGCCACCUUUUUUGUAGUUCCACCAAUGUGUGCCCAUCUGCAUGGGCAUACAUUGCAGGAACUCAUUUUGUUAGAACUGUGAAUGCAUGUAACUAUGGUACUUGUGGGACUCUCCCUCAUUUUGUAUUUAAUCCCGACUAACCUUUGUUGGGAAAACAACUUUUAAUUAAUAUAUCCUCUUUUCUACCAAAAAAAGAAGUCAUGGUAAUUAGAUGUAGGAUUAUGAUUUUAUGGGCUUACUUUGUGAUAAAUAAUGUAUACUUGCAUUAUUGCACAACUAGUUGUUCUCUCCAGUUAAAUAAUUACUUAUGUGAGAAUAAUGUCAAUCUGAUGCUUUGGGGUAACCUUUGUUGCGAAAACAACUUUUAAUUAAUAUAUCCUCUUUUCUACCAAAAAAAGAAGUCAUGGUAAUUAGAUGUAGGAUUAUGAUUUUAUGGGCUUACUUUGUGAUAAAUAAUGUAUACUUGCAUUAUUGCACAACUAGUUGUUCUCUCCAGUUAAAUAAUUACUUAUGUGAGAAUAAUGUCAAUCUGAUGCUUUGGGGACAACAUAUUAUUAGUUGUUUGUAUUAUUUUUAGAAGGCCGAAAUUUAUUUCAAAAUUUUAUUUAAUUUGUAGAACGUAGAGCCAGUUCAGUAUUUCAUUAUUUCAUAAGUAUUUUAAAUCAUUGAGUUCAAAAUCUAUAAAUACAAGUCGUCAAAUUAAUAUUUGUAAAUAUUAGAACUUAGUAUUUGAAAAUACUAAAAUAACUAAUAGUACUAUAAUUUUGAAUAUGCAAGAAGGGAACUUCACUACCAAUUCAUUUCAGGGAGAAUUAAUUAUCUCUACUUUGUUAUAAUUAUAGAAACUAUGAUCUAUAAUUUUAUGGAGUAUAAGAUAUGCAAAAACGACCGUUUGCUUAAAUAAUUUUUAUCUGAUUAAGACAUUACAAUAGUAAUAAAAAUUUAUUAGUGCACAAAUAAAAUGUAUUUGUUUUCAAGCAAGUAAGGUAAUACUUGAGUUAAGCUUGUCAUGGCUCUCAUUCGAUUUAAAUUUAUUUAAAAAUUUAUGCUAGCAUUUCUUUUAAUCGGUACAAUCUUUUUUUACAUUUAUAAAAAGUUAUAUAUCUCUCUAUAAUAGUUCAUGAACUCAGAUAGUAAAAAAUUGGCCUUUUUUUGCUUCUUCGUCAGGCUUUUGAGCAGCUCUUUCAACUGCCGCCCAAUCCCUCAACAUGGUCAAACCCGAGGACAGUCUGCAUCUAAUCAAGUCUUUAACCAGAGAAUCGGAGAAUUUCCAUCCUAAUAAUUAGAAUAAAUAAUUUGCACCAUAAUCUCAAACUAAUCUUAUGCAUGUAGAGAAAAAAAUAUUGUAUUUCUUAGGUUCAUUGACCAGCCUAACCAAUAUAUAGUAAUAGUUAAGAGACUGUCUUUUCAUGUAAUUUUAAGCCACAUAAAAUUUCUAUUCUUUUUUAUUAAUUAUCUAAAUUUUUUUAUUUUUUUUAAAUAGC
rnacentral:lncRNA from 1 species